UUUUCGUUGAUGUUUCGGCGUUCUCGCAUUAGUUCUUGAAGUGGCUCUCGAAUCGAGCUAACACUCGCUUACGGCCACAACACCCUGAGCACGCCCGCUCUCCUUUGAUCUCGGAGGCCAAGCAGGGUCGGGCCUAGUAAGUACUUGGAUUUGAGACCGCCUGGGAAUACCAGGUGAUGUAAGCAUUUAUGUAUUUAUUUUUUUUUAAAUGCGCCUUGUCUGUAAG
rnacentral:rRNA from 1 species